AGCCAGCCCGUCAAAUUGUUGUGCCUGGCCGCAGCCACUGGUGGCCCGAGUCGCGCGCCGCUCGUCAUCCCAGGCCCCUCGACAGAUCAAUCGCAGUCAGCAGGUCUCCGCCGAGAGUAGGCCACGCACGCCGCGCCCAACCCGUGUCGCAGUUGUGGCCACCCGAGGCCCUCACCGCCAGGCCCACUAGUCGCAGCCCGAGUGCCCUGGUGCCCGCAGUGCCCCCCAGUCCCAGUGGCACGUCCCCUGCCGCAGCGCUCCUCACGCCCCCGCACCUACUGUUAAUGCAUAGCGGACCCACGGGCCCUCCGCAACGCUCCCCUGUGGCUGCCUCGCCGCCCCUGCGGGUCUUCGCUGCUCCCUCCGCGCCCUCGUCCUCCCCUCGUGCUCACUCUCAGCCUCUAGUGACGUCACAGUGCAGCGUUACAUGUGACUCCCAGUGCUGUAACAAACCCUGAAGGAACACAGUGAUAAACAUAAUCGGUGACGCCGAUAAGCAGAGUGUCGCCGACCCGAAGGACCGCACGUGCGCCUCCAGACUGGCGACGACCGGAGCCGUGAGCGACCGGUUGUUGUAGUGAGGGGUACGAGGAAUGUUCGGCCUAGGCGAGGGCCUGCCACAGCCGCGGGGCCCCGUCACCACGCUCAAGGAGGAGCCCUUGUCGUCUACGAGGUCCUGGAUGCAGCCAACCAUGGUGGAGAACACCCACUCGAGCGUGGGCCUCGGACGCGCACACUUCGAGAAGCAGCCUCCGAGCAACCUCAGAAAGUCGAAUUUCUUCCACUUCGUCAUCGCCCUGUACGACCGCGCAGGGCAGCCCAUCGAGAUCGAGAGGACGGCCUUCCUCGGCUUCAUCGAAAAGGACCAGGAACCCGAAGGACAGAAGACGAGCAACGGCAUCCACUACAGAUUACAGCUUCUCUUCGCAAACGGAGUUAGACAAGAACAAGAAAUAUACGUGAGAAUAAUUGACUCCGUUACAAAACAGGCUAUCGUAUACGAAGGACAAGACAAAAACCCGGAGAUGUGCCGAGUCCUCCUCACGCACGAGGUCAUGUGUAGCCGGUGUUGUGACAAGAAGAGCUGUGGAAACCGCAACGAGACGCCCUCAGACCCCGUCAUCAUCGACAGGUUCUUCCUCAAAUUCUUCUUGAAGUGUAACCAGAACUGUCUCAAGAAUGCAGGGAACCCCAGAGACAUGCGGCGCUUCCAAGUGGUCAUCUCCCAGCAGGUGGACGUCGCCGGCCCUCUGUUGGCGGUUUCAGACAACAUGUUUGUUCACAAUAAUUCGAAGCACGGCAGACGGGCCAAGCGCCUCGACCCCACUGAGGGCAUGUUCGGUCUGUACCCUCCGCUCCCGGCCACGCCCUGCAUCAAGGCCAUCUCCCCCUCGGAGGGCUGGACCACCGGGGGCGCCACCGUCAUCAUCAUCGGCGAUAACUUCUUCGACGGUCUGCAGGUCGUCUUCGGGACCAUGCUCGUCUGGAGCGAGCUGGUGACGUCACACGCCAUCCGGGUCCAGACGCCGCCUCGCCACAUCCCCGGCGUGGUCGAAGUCACGCUCUCCUACAAGUCAAAACAGUUCUGCAAGGGCGCACCCGGCAGAUUCGUCUAUGUCUCCCUGACGGAGCCCACCAUCGACUACGGUUUCCAGCGGCUGCAGAAGCUGAUCCCGCGGCACCCCGGCGACCCCGAGAAGCUCCCGAAGGAGAUCAUCCUGAAGCGCGCGGCGGACCUGGCGGAGGCGCUGUACUCCAUGCCCAGGAACAAUCAACUCGCUCUGCCGGCGCCGCGCUCGCCCGCCAUGAACCAGACCUCCGCCAUGACCGGGUUCAACACCUACACCGGCCAGCUCGCCGUCAGCGUCCAGGACACGGCCAACACGCAGUGGGGCGAAGGUUUUUUCUUCUAGACGACUACACCCGCGCUCAGGGCCCCGGAGUAAGCAUAUCUUCGCCUCGGGGGGGCUUCGGGUCCAACGCCUCCACUCCUCACUCCUCCUCCACCGGCUCCUCCUCCUCCACGUACGGGGCCUCCCUCAACGCCGCCGGAUACUCUUCGCCCUCGAACCUCGCCAACAUGACCACGUCGCCCAGCCUCUUCAACAGCACCACAACAGCGGGCGGCUAUGGCGGCCACCACGGGUCCUGGGGCACCUCCUCCUCCUGCGCCUCCUCCUCCGCCGCCCUCCUCUCCCAGUUCACGGCGGGGAUGGGCGUGGCCGGAAAUAAUAAGCAGCGUAGUGCCUUCGCUCCAGUCAUCCCCGGCCUCCCCGCCACGCCGCCCCUCACGCCCAUCGCGCCCAUGGGCAGCUCCUCUGUGGCGUCCUCCAUGAACCCCAACGGCGCCGCAGUGGCCGUGGCGCCGUGGCAGCAGCUCUUGUCUUAGUGAAUGGGCGGCUUCAUGUCGUCCGCCUUCACCUCCAUGGGCCACUUCCUGCCCCCGUGCGGCUCGCAGCCCUACGGGCCGGCGCUCGUGCACUCCGCCGCCACCAAGUGAUAGUGGGCGUGCGAGUCGUCACGACCCAGCGCCCACGCCUUCCCCGGACACUUCGCCCGCCCGACGGAUCGCGCCCACCCACCCGCGUGCCGCCCACAGGAGCUCGUGGUGGCCGCACGCCCCUGCGAGCCGCCGCCGCCGCCGCCGCCGCCCGCACGGACGCUGACGAGCCUGUGACCGAGGCCCUUCCCGAGCGGGUCGUGGGCGCCGGGGCUGCCGUGAAGACCAGACGGCGGCGGUGACGACGAGCGGCGACGCGACGCGACGAGCGAGAGGGAGAAGCAAAGCGAAAGGAUGCCAAGCAGCACUCAUUUUCCCAUCCCGAGAGCAUCACCUCCCCGGCGCGCAUCGAGUGAGACUUCCCGCAUACAUAUCUUCUAAACCGUAGGCAUUACUCCAGGAGUCGUUCUUCGGGGCGAGUUCGGCGAUGGAAAGGUCCGUUCACGAGAGACACUCACACCAGAUAUCGCAGGUCUACUCGACGGGGGUAUAAGGGCCCCCUGAUCCUUAUACCCGACCCUGAGUAGAUGACAUUGCCGGCCAGCUCCACCAAGCUCAGCCGGCCAUGGGGCUUCCUCAUUAUAUAAGUCUCAGCUGCCAUACCUAUAUCAGCUGCAUCAUUCCAAAAAAAAAAAAGAAUAAAAAAUAUAUAUAUCUUCAGGUGUCCUUCUGUGUGGACGAGAAGUAAGUGGUGUUUUCAGGAGGAUUUGGACCCUUAUAGCUACCCCAUCCCUCACCCCUAUUCCUACCCCCCCCCCCAUCCCCCGUCGCGCCUCCUUUCAUACGAGCGUAAAAAAAAGGAACACUUAGGAAUGCAUAAAACAUUUCCUAUUAUUUCAGUCACGGGUCUAAUGUCAGUUCUUCUUCUCCUUUUUGUAUUUGACAUUUUUUUUUUUCGUUAACCAAUCAGAGUGCAGUAUUAUAUAUUUCUGCCGACCAAUCACAGCUUUAGUUUCCGGGUCUUGACUCUUGUGCAUUUGGCGGGAGAAAAUUAGCUUUAAAAUAGUCCUCAGUUUCUUCAAACAAAUUGUAUAGCAUAGUUUUUCACACAUUGUUUUGUUAUAAUUGCAGAUUGUGCGUUUUUUGUAAAUAUUUUUUCCACCUUUAUAACAGACACGUCAGUCUCAUUUGACUUCGGUCCAUUUUGUAAUAUCAACAAUCACAACGCAAAAAAAAAAAUGAGAUUUGUAACAUUUAAAUAUUUGAAUAAUCAAUGCUUCCUACGAGUACAUAAAACGCGUAGUGAGACUUUUUUUUUAAGUUAUUCAUAAACCGUAAUUAGGAUGAUCAUGUCACAUAGAGCCCCAUUUUAAGAAAUCAAAGGCGUUUUUAUCAACCAUUCAGCAAACGAGAGAUUGAAACACUGACCCCCACAUAGCGUAAUAGUGUUGACAAUGAUAACCCAAUUCAGCCGCUAUGGCACUUUGAAAAAAGCCUUGUAAAUUAUGUUUUGUAAAUAUAUGUACAUUUUUUUAAAAGAGAAAACAACAACAACUGUAAACGAAUAACUUUGCUAAGUUAUUUGAUGGUUAUGUAUUUUUUUUUUUAGGUAGAUGUUAAUGAUUAUGUAUAUUAUUAGCUGAUAUUUUGUUGACAUUCUGUAUUUUUUUAUCUCUCUCUCUUAAGUUUCUUCGUUCUGCAUUAAAAAAAAAUAACGCAGGAUGUUCUCAUAAAGGCAGGACCAUAUUCCCAUUUUCUGUGUCUUCUUCGACGACAUCCGUUUUCUAUGUCUCGGGCGGCUGAAGUACCAAAAAAAAAAGAGAAAAAAAAAAAACGUUUCUUGGCGAAAUGAAUAGCUCAUCGGGCCAUGUUUCCCUACAACGAGUUUUAUAGAGGUACAUUAAUGGCACUUCAGCCGCCCUCCGAAUUUAAGAUAUUUUUCUGGCAAUUCAAAAAUGAUAAAUAAAAGAAUUUCGAUGGACAAUAAGAUUUCCACACUAAGCUUUUCUAUUGUACCUGUAAAUACUCGUAACAUAUCAUUUACAAAUACUCAGAUUAUAUGGACUUGUGGUAAUAUAAUGGACACCACGUAUGAUGUGCAAUAUGCUACGGAUUUUAUCAUUUAGUUAUGACUGAAUGAUCUUGAAAUGUAAAGAAGAAAUAAAAGAAUAUAUAUCUUCUGAGGUCACAUCUCGACAUUGUGAGAUGCAGUAUACUAUGAAGUUCUUUCUGGUGGCGUGAACACGAGAAAACAGGAAAUAUGCAAACAAACAUGUGUAAAAAAAAAUAUGCUUAAAUCCUGAAGCAUCUUAUUUUUAUAUCGUUUACAAAAAAAAAAGGAUGUGCUUUUAAAAAAUAACGUAUCAACAUAAAAUUUCCGAAAGAAUUUAAAAAAUGAAAAUCCCUAUUCUCAUUUUAAAUAUAUUGAUUUUAUUUCAAAACUUUUUCGAAAUAAUAAUCCCACUUUGAAUGAAUUUUUGCACACGUAGCCCUCCUUUGCCUCCCCCUCCCCCCAAAAACGCAUUUUUUUUCCCUUUUCUUUUUUACUUGAGAAUGUUUUAUUGUGUAAAAGAUCUCGCCACCAGAUUGCGCCUUCUGAUUUUACCUGACUCUCUUCACAUCAUCUUGUUGUUUAAGCAGAAGCAUCGCUAUGUUAAUGUGUGAUAGUCUGAUACCCUUUAUGUGUUUAGGGUAAGAAAAUUAAAUGUAUUCUUUAUCAUGUACAGAGUAAAAUUUUCAACUUAAUUUCCUAGGUGUAUAAUAAAUUUUAUAAAAACCUAU